GCCAGGGUGGCCAAGCAGACUAAGGUGCUGCAUUCAGAUCACAGUCUCCCCUAGAGGUGUGGGUUUGAAUCCCACUUCUGACA
rnacentral:tRNA from 1 species